UGUUACACAAGAGAGAGAGAGAGAGAGAGAGAGAGAGAGAGAGAGAGAGAGAGAGAGAGAAUGAGGAGCAGGGAGUUCUGAGUCCAACCCACAUGCGCCCCAUCAUCAUUACAGCUCAGUGAAUGGGUUGCCAUAGCCCAUAGCAUUUGAUACAUCUCUCUCUCUCUCUCUCUCUCUCUCUCUCUCUCUCUCUCUCUCUCUCU
rnacentral:miRNA from 1 species